rnacentral:rRNA from 1 species
CACGUAGGGCGCAAGCGUUGUCCGGAAUUAUUGGGCGUAAAGGGCGCGUAGGCGGCCUUCUAAGUCGAACGUGAAAUCCCCGGGCUCAACCCGGGAACUGCGUCCGAUACUGGAAGGCUUGAAUCCGGGAGAGGGAUGCGGAAUUCCAGGUGUAGCGGUGAAAUGCGCAGAUAUCGGGAAGAACACCCGUGGCGAAGGCGGUUCUCUGGGACGGUACUGACGCUGAGACGCGAAAGCGUGGGGAGCGAACAGG